GGGCGGCUGGUGGAACCGGGUGCAGGCGGUGCUGCGGCCGCUGCUGUGGAUGGCGGUCGGCAUGAUCGUCGUGUCCGCCGCCUAC
rnacentral:tRNA from 1 species